ensembl:lncRNA
CUUCUUCAAGUGGCCAAUAUUCAUCAAGUUUUUCUAGUAGCCUCGCAUUACAAUAGGCUGCAGAGACUACCAAGGAUGGCCUAGUUGUGAUGUCUGUGUGCCAAGUUCUUCCCUCCAGCCCAGACAUUUCCUGAACUCAACACCAGCUUGUCCAUCUGCCUCUAGAUGUUUCUGUGUGGAUAUACUGCCAACUUGUUCAUCUCGGUUUUUGAGUUGGUGUUGAAGUGCUCCAUUGACGGAACCCCAAGCAGUGCUUCUAGCCCUUUUUCUCUACUUCUACUAUACCCUGGAUUUCAGGCCAAG